rnacentral:tRNA from 1 species
GAGGUGGCAGAAAAGUGCAUUAGGUUUAAGCUCUAAAAAUAAAGACAUUAUUCUUUCCUUUAUA